UACGAAGGGGGCUAGCGUUGCUCGGAAUCACUGGGCGUAAAGCGCACGUAGGCGGCUUUCUAAGUCAGGGGUGAAAUCCUGGAGCUCAACUCCAGAACUGCCUUUGAUACUGGAGAGCUUGAGUCCGGAAGAGGUGAGUGGAACUCCGAGUGUAGAGGUGAAAUUCGUAGAUAUUCGGAAGAACACCCGUGGCGAAGGCGGCUCUCUGGAACGCAACUGACGCUGAGACGCGAAAAGCGUGGGGAGCAAACAGG
rnacentral:rRNA from 1 species